rnacentral:rRNA from 1 species
UACGGAGGGAGCUAGCGUUGUUCGGAAUUACCGGGCGUAAAGCGCGCGUAGGCGGCUUUGUAAGUUAGAGGUGAAAGCCCGGAGCUCAACUCCGGAACUGCCUUUAAAACUGCAUCGCUUGAAUCCAGGAGAGGUGAGUGGAAUUCCGAGUGUAGAGGUGAAAUUGGUAGAUAUCGGGAAGAACACCGGUGGCGAAGGCGGCUAUCUGGCCCGUAAUUGACACUGAGGCGCGAAAGCGUGGGGAGCAAACAGG